rnacentral:rRNA from 1 species
AGUGAACGCUGGCGGUAGGCCUAACACAUGCAAGUCGAACGGCAGCACAGUAAGAGCUUGCUCUUACGGGUGGCGAGUGGCGGACGGGUGAGGAAUACAUCGGAAUCUACUUUUUCGUGGGGGAUAACGUAGGGAAACUUACGCUAAUACCGCAUACGACCUACGGGUGAAAGCAGGGGAUCUUCGGACCUUGCGCGAUUGAAUGAGCCGAUGUCGGAUUAGCUAGUUGGCGGGGUAAAGGCCCACCAAGGCGACGAUCCGUAGCUGGUCUGAGAGGAUGAUCAGCCACACUGGAACUGAGACACGGUCCAGACUCCUACGGGAGGCAGCAGUGGGGAAUAUUGGACAAUGGGCGGAAGCCUGAUCCAGCCAUACCGCGUGGGUGAAGAAGGCCUUCGGGUUGUAAAGACCUUUUGUUGGGAAAGAAAAGCAGCAGGUUAAUACCCCGCUGUUCUGACGGUACCCAAAGAAUAAGCACCGGCUAACUUCGUG